UGGGAUCGCUCUCAGGCCCUUUCUGCUAUGGACUGACCCUGUGGCUCUACUGCAAGACCAUGGCACUGCCUGCCCCUUUGGCCUUGGACACAGCUCUUCCAGGAACAAGUAAAGGAUUGGUGUGGGAAGGGGUCCCGUGGAGGGAUCAGUGCUGACAUGUGAGAGCUCUCCAUACAUCUCCUCACUGCACGCAUGGAGGAUUUGCCCUGCACAAGUGACGACGUGCGAGCGAGCCCCUUGCUGAGGGGAUGCACUCCAGAAGUUGCAGGUGUGUCGCUGGAGCAUGUGCAAUGAUUCAAGAUGGAAAAGUCUUCCAAAGCUCCAAAUGAGACAGAAUAAACUGUGCUUUAACACAUGCUCAAUUGACUCUUUGGCAAAGUAUGACAUGAAUCUGUAUGGCUCUCUCUGAGGCCUGUCCCAGCUGUAUCCUGCCUGCUGCAUCCUUGAGCAAGCAGUGAACUGCUGUCCUUGUUUUCUCCUUGUGCUGUCGUCUCCUUCUCUUACCUGUUCUCCACUUAUGACAUCGCUCUUCUGGUAGGAGUUAUGUAAGUCCUCUAUGAAAGGGGCAACCAGGAGGAGAAAUGUUAACUAUUCCAAAUCAUAGUGGGAAAAGAAGCAAAGAAAAUCUGGAUUUUCCUUGGCAGAAAGUGAAGAGAAAGCUAGCAAGAACGGGACAGGUUUCUCAGAGAACAUGCGUGCAAAAGAGACUGUCACUAAUGCUCUGUAGCCAGUUGAGAGCAGAAACUUUCCACGAGUAAGAGAAAUAAUCACUGAAAUGUGGGAUAUAUGAUAACUUCUGGAACAGAAGGAAUAAGACCCCAGGCAAGGGAGCUCUGAACAUUGUGCUGUACCUUUUAUUUCCAUUUGUGGAUCUGUGGUGUUUGCUUUAUCCCUGACUCAGUUACUGUAUGUUUGCCAAACUUCACCCAGCCCUCUGGUGAUGACUUAUUAAGCACUUAGUUUGUGAUAACUGGUUUUCUCCUGAAAUGAUACCA